rnacentral:rRNA from 1 species
UACGUAGGGUGCAAGCGUUAAUCGGAAUUACUGGGCGUAAAGCGUGCGCAGGCGGUUUUGUAAGCCAGAUGUGAAAUCCCCGGGCUUAACCUGGGAAUGGCAUUUGGGACUGCAAGGCUUGAGUGCGGCAGAGGAGACUGGAAUUCCUGGUGUAGCAGUGAAAUGCGUAGAUAUCAGGAGGAACACCUGUGGCGAAAGCGGCUCACUGGACCAUAACUGACGCUGAUGCACGAAAGCUAGGGGAGCAAACAGG